rnacentral:lncRNA from 1 species
UAGCAGAUAAUUAGGUUCUGUCUCACAGGUUCAUUUUCCUGUGACUGGGACGUGAAUAUGACCUACAGCUGGCCUCAAUUUCAGUGUCACAGACAAAACUUUAACCCUUCCUAGUCUUGUCACUACUGUACCGACUGCUGCUGGCGGUCGUUGCAAACGUUUUCCCUGCAGUGUUCAACACAGCACACCCUAGUGAAUCCUCGGGGCUCGUUUCCCAGGUUAUGCUAAUCCCGAGCUAGGAGGGAGAUGGCCAAGCUUGCAUUCACAUGGUACGCUGGAUGGGGAAAAGAGUAUCGUUAGCACCAAAUGAAUAUUGAUUGUCUGGUAUGUAGAUUUGCCGGAAAGUAAUUGCUUGGAGUCAAGGAAUCUGUUGGGGAUGAUCUGUGUUUGGACACCUGAGCCUCUGCAGAACAUGACUGAUUGUGCUGUUCUUUCAAGGACCUACUCAAAGAUGGCUUUGGCUGAUAUUUUACAUAAGAACAAUACAAUUGCACUGUCUUGAUGCCUUAAAAAAAACUGCUUUUGGUGCUGAAACCUGCUACUGUAAGUUGCUAAUAGAAGCAAGAAAUAUGCUGAUCUAACUGCCUGUUUGAAUAACCGUAUCACUGUCUGGAA